rnacentral:lncRNA from 1 species
GUCCAGGCCAGUGCUUAAGCCAAUGGAGAAGGGAGGAGGUAAGGAAGUUGGAGUCAAAGAGGCAGUCUUGGGAAAUAACAGGCACCUGGGAAAACCCACGAAGUAAGGUUUUGUAAGAAGUUGCUCUGCUCCCUGGGAGAAAACGCGGAGCUCAACACUGCCAAGAGGAACAAGUCUGGGAAAUUACGACAUGAGGGCCCUUGUGAAUUGAUGAAUAUGAAGACACUAAGAAAGCAGAAAUAGAACUGAGAAGAAUGAAAUAACUGUCUCUACCUUUCUCGAAUUGUCUAAUAUGGAAAGAAUGAAAGACAGCUAAUAAGCAACUCUCUGCAAGAAGACAUAUGGCUUAGAAUCUACUUGGAGAGAGUCAAACACAGAAUCCCUUUGAAUUUAAUGGCCAUUCCAGGUGAUUUGAACAGCCAAAUAAGAAACAGGUCCUCUUCAAUGUACAAUCUGCCAAGUAUGAAGUCUGAAUGACCAUCAUUAUUAUGUAUUUAAUGUGCAUAGAAAAUCUAUCUGCAACCUUCCAGAGUGUACCAGAAGUUUGGAAUGUACAUUAUUAUUGGCUCCAUCUCAAACCACUCAUAAAUCAAAGAAAAUAGCAGUUCCAGAGGAAUCAUCAUAGAGGCUUCUAGGCCCCCAUGCUGUGUGAACCUGGUGAGAAAGGGAAGUCUGCUCUCACUGGACACUGGAACUGUUUGUCUCUGUCUCUGCUGUACUUUCCCUGCCUCUACCUCACUUAGUAAAGAAAUCAUCUUUGCUUGAUAACUAAAACAACCAAUAAGGCUGAGAAAGGGGAAAACCCACAUCUGGAUUUAAAUACAAGGUAUUGGGCCAGCUGCUGGGGAUUAAACUUUGAACAAAACAGAUAGAAUCUAUGUCCUCAUGGGAGUGGCUAAUGGGAGAGUCGGAACAAAAAAAUAGCCAAGGAUAAUCCAGCAAAUGAUUUGGUGAAUGCUAUCAAAGAGAGAAAUACACAUGCUCUGGGAACACCAAACAG